UUCCUCACUGAUGAGGGUCGUGACCAUCA
rnacentral:sRNA from 1 species